rnacentral:rRNA from 1 species
CAAUAGCGUAUAUUAAAGUUGUUGCAGUUAAAAAGCUCGUAGUUGAAUUUCGGGUCCCCGCGCUCGGCGCUUCAUUGUGCCGUCGUGGUGUCCCUCCUCGCCGUAAGGCGUCCUUUACUGUGAAAAAAUUAGAGUGUUCAAAGCAGGCAAUCGCUUGAAUACAUUAGCAUGGAAUAAUAAGAUAGGAUCUUGUCUAUUUUGUUGGUUGCGGACAACGAUAAUGAUUAAUAGGGAUAGUUGGGGGUGUCCGUAUUGAGCCGUCAGAGGUGAAAUUCUUGGAUUUGCUCAAGACGAACUACUGCGAAAGCAUUCACCAAGGAUGUUUNCAUUAA